AAGUAUAGAGACCUUGAAUCAAGAAGGGAGAAAAAGUUUGGUGUUUGCGUAAAUCUGAGAGGGAGAACAAGGAUUUCACAAAGCUGAGCUAAAGAUUGGUUUUUCUUUUCAUUAUUUGUAUAUAUUUUUUAAAUAUUUAACUUAUAAAUCUUUUAUGGUUUUUUUAAAUAGUUAAUAUUAUAUGUUUUAAAUAUCUUUUUAAUGAAAGUUUUCUAUAAAAGUAAAAUUUAUUUUUAGUCUAUUUGUUAAAAAU
rnacentral:lncRNA from 1 species